rnacentral:sRNA from 1 species
CCAGUGCACUUUACUCCGAACCCAGUUAUGACAGAGACAUUGCAACUCCACGAAUGUGUUCGACAUCAAUGAAACAGAGCGAAACAGUAUUGAUGUUACACCAGCACAAUAGCACACCAACUUUGACCAGCACAGAAUACUCAAUAAGUAAGCACACAACGGGAAUCAUUGUUAACAAAGACAAGCUUGAUUGUGUAGGUUACAGACAUAGUAUUUCCUCUGCAUCGAAUGCGAUUAGCGUUAUUUCCAAUAACGGUCAUAAGAUUUGUGUUGAAUUAGAUGGCGAUGUAUUUCGUAAUCCCAGAGAUGCACAUGGCUUUGAGGUCAACCAGAAACUUGGACUGUAUUAUGUACAUAUACCGCAUGGGGAUGGGAGCGAUCGAAUGACAUUGGACUUUGGAAACAAAGAAAUGUCCAGCCAAACUGAAGCACCUGCUAACAAGGAUGUUGUCAUGUUGCUUCAACACACCAUUUUUACCAAUCAGAGGUGGUCCCGAGCACAAUUAAUGGAUCAAAACAAUGCCAACGCAGUUCCCAUUGCAUUUAAUAGCGCCGAGUGUACCCAGCAGACAACUUCAAUUAGUAAACAUAUUCGGAGCUUUGGUGGCAAAGAUUGUUAUAUGUUGAGUACUUGAAGUU